AUGUUCGAGCGGUUUGGCGAGCUCCUGGUUGAAGGAACCGCGUACAAUGUCACUGAUGUCGAUAGGAUGAGGAGAUACAUCACCACUCACAAUAACGCAGCGAAAAGGGAGAAGUGGAGCAGGGUUGAGUAUGAGGUAACAAUAAACGAAGACAUGUCGAUCUUCAGUUGCGAGUGCGGCAAGUUCGAGCAUACUGGCAUGCUUUGCAGCCAUUCGUUGAGGGUGAUGGAAAUUCUUCACAUGGAGGAGAUACCAAAGCAUCACAUCAUGAAGCGGUGGACGAGGGACGCGAGAGAUGUACUGCCUGGGCACCUGGUUCAGUACCAGAAAGACAGUUCACAAAACCUGUCAUUCACAUACAGGCAUGCAACUCUAUAUGUGAAAGCUAUGGAAGUCGUGAGGAUGGGAGACGCAAGUGCUGCAUCAUAUGAUCAUGUGAACGCGGCUCUCGACGCUGUGCUACAGAGUGGGGCAGCAAUUGCGGAGAAGAGAGAUGGGCUGGCUUUCGAGGAUCGGCUCGUUGAACAUACACCUGCAAUACCAGGCCCAAAUGGGGAACUAGCGUUUGUCCCGCUGGGCACUGAACAAUGCCGGAGCCCCGGUCAUUCUGUCAGUGUGAAUGCAAUGCAAAAUCUAGCAGCUCCAGACAAGCAUAGAGGUGCUGGGAGACCGACAAGCAGCUGA
rnacentral:rRNA from 1 species